rnacentral:rRNA from 1 species
UACGGGGGGGGCAAGCGUUGUUCGGAAUUACUGGGCGUAAAGGGUCUGUAGGUGGCUUGCUAAGUCAGACGUGAAAUCCCUCGGCUUAACCGGGGAACUGCGUCUGAUACUGGAUGGCUUGAGUUUGGGAGAGGGAUGCGGAAUUCCAGGUGUAGCGGUGAAAUGCGUAGAUAUCUGGAGGAACACCGGUGGCGAAGGCGACAUCCUGGACCAACACUGACGCUGAGGAGCGAAAGCCAGGGGAGCAAACGGG